AUGCACGCUGGCGGCGUGCUUAACACAUGCAAGUCGAACGGUGAAGCAGAGCUUGCUCUGUGGAUCAGUGGCGAACGGGUGAGUAACACGUGAGCAACCUGCCCCUGACUCUGGGAUAAGCGCUGGAAACGGCGUCUAAUACUGGAUAUGAGCUGCGACCGCAUGGUCAGCAGUUGGAAAGAUUUUUCGGUCUGGGAUGGGCUCACGGCCUAUCAGCUUGUUGGUGAGGUAAUGGCUCACCAAGGCGUCGACGGGUAGCCGGCCUGAGAGGGUGACCGGCCACACUGGGACUGAGACACGGCCCAGACUCCUACGGGAGGCAGCAGUGGGGAAUAUUGCACAAUGGGCGAAAGCCUGAUGCAGCAACGCCGCGUGAGGGAUGACGGCCUUCGGGUUGUAAACCUCUUUUAGCAGGGAAGAAGCGAAAGUGACGGUACCUGCAGAAAAAGCGCCGGCUAACUACGUG
rnacentral:rRNA from 1 species